rnacentral:lncRNA from 12 species
GGCGAGGGGUGCUGCUGUCCCCACAAGUGGAAACCAUGUGUUCCUUCCUGAGCAGCUGAUGAGAUGCAGUCCCCUAAUUAGAGAGUGAGUCCUGCUUGAAGCCUCAAACUGAGACUCUAAUGCUAAUCAGCAUUUUCAUUCCAGUACAUUUGGCAAAAUAAAAACAGCUGUGAAGAGAGCCAGUGAAAAAGACAAGAGUCCUCAUCCUUGCCUUCUAGCCCUCCAGCUUUGGGACACAGCCAUUUCAAUUGCUUUUCCUCUCCCCCUUCUCUUUUUGACUUGCCAGGGAAUAUGAUACCUGCUAAGCAGCAUAUGCUUCCAUCUCCUGACCCCCAAAGAAACUGCCCAGGUUCCUGAUUAGGGCUGGCCCUCGGGCUCUGCUCGGGUGUCUGACAUUGCAGUUGGGCUCUGUGGCAGGAAGGAUCACACAGAUGCGAGCCACAGGGAUGCUAGAGGGUCUAUUUUCAAGAGACUGGGCUGCGAGCAAGUCACAGACAAAACCAAAGAACACAACCCAUCGCCCUAGAGCACCACUUUUCAGCUCCUGAUGGGUUUGGCCUCUGUCCUCCCUGCUUUUGUGGCUCGUCUGAGCAGUGCGGGUGGCAAGAGGACACAGUUCCACUCACAGGACUCUAAGAAGGCUAGUGGGAAGACUAGUCAAAGAUGGAAAGCCCAUUAGACAAUGGGCAGAUAUGUAUAAUUUAGUGCCAUAUGUGGUGCUGA